UUCCAAUACUUGUUGCAUUUAUUUCUUCGUCAAUAUUGUUUUUGAUAUUUGAUUGCUAUGAAAGAUGUUGCUCUAAAACUCUCCUCGUAAACAUCCUAUUGUUCUAAAUAAUAGAAUAAAUAAGUAAUAAAUAUAAUAUAAAUAAUAAUGUGUGUCCACGAUCACAGGCGAGAAACGGAAGUCUGUGUCGUGUCAAUGUAAAACAAUGGCUUAGCCCGAAGCUUCAGUCUUAUGAAACAAAGUUCUGAACAGAAAAACAGCAAAGGGCCGUGCGGAUGGCGGAGCGUGGGAUGGACACACGCUCUGAGACAGAUGAAAGCGGCGGGCUUAGCUGUUCUGCUGCAGCAGACGACAAAGGACAAAGCUCACGGCAGAGAGACACCAUGGAGUCGACAAUCACCUGCAUAGGAUGCCACCACUUACUUACUUUGGCAAGAUCACCAGCCAACGAGUCCAGCUUCUGACGCACUGGCCCAUCUACGGACAGGACGUGGGCCAGCUCGCACAGUGAGGGGUACAGCUUGAGGAGGAACACUUGUUUGGCAGCUUGAAUGUCCUCCACCUCUCCAACACCUCGCAGCAUGCACACCUGCUGCUGGACACGUGCACACAGCCGCUCCAUCACCUCAGAAACACAAACACGUGGGCAGGAGAGGUAAAGGCAGGUGUUGCUGCCCAGAGCGUUGACCAGGACCGUGCCUCGAGAGCGGAGACGCGAGUCGGUGAGCGACAGAGUCUGCAGAGCCUGGAGAUGAACACAGGAACUACAUUUGAAGCAUGCGUCAACACGACUUCACAUACUGCAUGUAUGAAUUAUUGACUCCAUGUGUGUGCAGUGAUAUAGAGAAGGGGCAAACACAGCAAUAAUUAAUGUUGCAUUUUUGUUACAGUGUAUCUUGUGAAUGGACAAUAUCAUAUAGAUGGAUAUACUGUACUUCGGAGUACCCAAUGUAUAGUGUGUAUAGCAGUAUGGCUUUACUAUCCAGCACGGUGCUGGGUGGUUAGCCAUAAGCAAAAUUUGAUUUUGGGGCCCUCUAUUACAAAAUAAUUCAUUAUUAUUUUUUUUUAAGUUAAUUGAGUGCCCCCUAGUGGUCACAGGGUCCUAAGAAGGUGCGUAGUUCGCUUAUUCCUUGGGCUGGCUCUGGCCACACAGUCAGGAGAUUGGGAAGAUCUGGGUUCCAUUUUCCGCUUGGGCAUCUCUGUGUGGAAUUUGCAUGUUCUCCCCAAGUGAAUUGGCUACUCCAAAUUGUCCAUAGGUAUGAAUGUUAGUGUGAAUGGUUGUUUGUCUAAAUGUGCCCUGUGAUUGGCUGGCGACCAGUCCAGGGUGUACCCCCCUCCUCGCCCGAAGACAGCUGGGAUAGGCUCCAGCAUACCCCCGCGAUUCUAAUGAGCAUAAGCGCCAUAGAAGAUGGGUGGAUGGAUGAAAAUUAGUCAACACCUAGCCUUUUUUUUCUAAAUAGCCAGUAACACAAGUGAGUGGCAAAAGAAUUGUGUCCCGCCUACAGUUGGCAUGCCAGUCAUUCUUGGGCUACACGAGUGCUGCCAGCACUGGGGAGCUGUAGUUACAGUAAUUUUCGGUGCAUAGUAAAUCUAUGCUGCUAUAAAACCUGUGGUACAUAGUGGUUUAAUGGUGUAUACAGUAUAUCCAACCGGCAGUAUUGUUCAUUAGAAAAUGCUUGACCAGAGGGAGAAGAAACCAAUAAGUCAUGUAUGCUAUCUUCUGUCACACCCGUACACAAAGAUAUGAUAUGGUUAUGCCGUCCUCACUCACACAUUCCUCCUCUUGUAUGAGUUGCACCAGUUUCUGCAGGACUUCAUCCAGAACCCUGCGGAUGUAAGAUGUGAGACUGAAUCAGCUGACGUUAAUUAUUACCAUUUCCUGCAGCUGCACUCAGAGCAGCGGCAUAUAAAAUAGUGAAGUAGAGUGAACAGAGCUGUUAAUCAGGCUGGCAUAUGCUGUGCUCCCAUGUUUUGUUUUUCUCUUUUUUUGCACGCAUGCAUGCGCACAGUCAAGACGCAAAUAACCGCAUGAAAGCAGCACUGGCAGCACCUGUUUUUGAUGUUGAAGUUCUUGCCGAGAUGAAGGUGUUUCAGGGAAGGGUGUCUGGAUAGGGCUGGCAGCACCGUGAGCAAGUCUGCAUCCAAACCUAUCAACACAAGCACAGCUCAGCACUAGGACCAAACAAGGAGGACUAAACUCAAGGUCAGAGGAGAGAGAGGUAUCGCCUCAUGUCACCGGUGUACCGUUGUCGGAGAUAUCUAGAGUGCCAAUGGAGGAGACUCUGGGGAAGAGCUCCUGUAGAACAGCCGCUCCUGCAGAUCGUAGCUAAGGAGAGAAGACAAGCAGAGGAUGAAAGGGACAAACAACACAGACUUAUUCAUUGAGGUUUAGGGACUCCAGCAAACCACGUUAUUCACACAUGGUGAAAAUAUGGAACAGUGGUGAACCUUCAAGGAGUCUGCACCCAGAAUCAGCCAAUGAAUUUCCCCACUUGCAUGUUUCAAUGUGGACGCCUACCUCACAGCCGCUGAUGUCCAGGUGGAGGUCGUUGAUGUGGGGGUUGGAUGUUAAGCCCGCUAGGAGAGCCCUGUGGAGCCAGGAGAAAGAAACUCAAAGAGGAAGCAAAUACUAAGAACGUGAGACAGAUGGAAACCCACCUCAAGUUAUUUUUUUUGCAGUGUUCAUUUCACUGAUAACUGCUUCGAAGGAACAUCUUUACAAGAAGCAUUUGGCUUAAUCAAAGAAAAGUGGAAAUGGCGGUGAGUACCUGAGGACUUCUGGGGGCAUCUUCAUGGCAGCCAGGUUGACGUGGGUGAGACUGAAGGCAGAGCUGAAGAACUGACGGAAUGAAGGCAGUGUGUCCUUUGCUUUUCUGUUGGAUGAAAUAGCAACAAAGAACAGAAGGUUCGUCCACCCAUUUGGUGUCCUAAUUUACGGCUGACUCUUCUACUUCUGAACCACUUCACACAAAAGGUCUGGAAGGUAAAUCACGACAGAAUGUGGAGAUCAGGACAGAUGAAGUUCUCCCCAGGUUUAAGCCUUCAGUGCCGAGACCUCUACAAAUAUGGGACUAACCUGUGGGAGAAGGAGUUUUUGGAAAGAUUCAGAAAGGCGAGAUCAGCACAGCACCCCCUCAGAAGAGCCCCAAAUAGCUGCGUGAGAUGGGGAGGGGGACAGUUAAUCCGAUUCGACAGAUGCAUUUCUUUUGAAAGCACCGCCAUGAAAGCCUUACUGAGUCCACACAGCAAUCUGUGCCUGACAGGUCCAAAUGCACCAGGCAGUUGGGCUGCGACAGGAAGAGAUACAAGCUCUGCAAACACAGAGAGACACAUGCACUGAGUCGUCGUGUGAUGAUGGAAAAGUGCCUGAAUUGAACGCAUUUCCAGGUGCACUGCGCCUCCUCACCGAGGCAUCAUCACCAGAAAGGACCCCUGGGUUCUUGCUCAGGUCCAGGUGUAGGAGUGAGUUGGAGUACUCGUCGCUGGAGUUCAGAGCCAGAGAGAGCGACAUCAACCCUGAGGGUAAAGGUAGAUGUGGUAGAUGUGUAAUGACAGUUUUACGCUGCUUUCAUCUAACCUGAUGUAUCCUGAUCAGUGACAUUUUAUACAGAAAAGGUGGGGCUCAGGUUUUUGCCAUUUUGUCAGGAAAAUUGCCAUACUUUUGUAUCAGAAAAACAGCCAAUAUUCUUUGUCACAUUAAAAAGGGCACAACUAGGAGAUACAAGCUUGUCAGUUUUUGCAAAGAUGCAACUAUGUACAGUUUAUCAGCAGAAAUGCUUGUAUUCUUUUUCCUGACCACUGGUUGCCAGGCAGAUUUCAUGGAGCAUUGUCAUUGGUCAGGAAAUUGCAUAUACCAGCCAGCCAUGCCCACACGUUUUUUUUUUAGAUGCAAUACAGUACAAUACAAUACAGUAAUCCCUCACUACUUUAUCCAUCCAUCCAUCCAUUUUCUGUACGACUUAUCCUCACGAGGGUCGCGGGCAUGCUGGAGCCUAUCUCAGCUGUCUUUGGGCGAGAGGCGGGGUACACCCUGGACUGGUCGCCAAACGACCAUUCACACUCACAUUCAUACCUAUGGACAAUUUGGAGUCGCCAAUUAACCUAGCAUGUUUUUGGAAUGGGGGAGGAAAUCGGAGUACCUGGAGAAAACCCACGUAUGGGGAGAACUUCACACAGAGAUGCCAGAGCGGGGAAUCGAACCCCCUCAAAUCAAUCAGGCCAAUUAUUAGUCCAAAAAUAUACAUAUUUAAGCUAAUUUUACACAAUUACAAGCAUUUAACAAAACUAAAAAAGAAAUUCAGGCUUUCAGAUGACACAUUCAAAGAUCUAGUAAUGAUAUAUAGUAUUCUACACUGGUCACUAGGUGUCUGCAUUGUUACUGUACUGUGAGACACAUGGUGAGACACACAAGCACCACACCACAUUAGAUUGCCGGAACAGGAGCAGGCUUUAUUGCAGUUUGUUUUACGUCACAGCAGGGACAAUAAUCCCUAACAUGUGCUACUGUAACCUACACCAAGCUUAAACUGAACUCUGAAACCCCAACAGCAUUCCCCAUCUGCUCCCCUGAACAUCAUAUAAAUAUACAGUAGAUAUGUUUUCUCUGUAAAAGUGAUAUGGGCAUAUAAGCAGCUUUAUGGAGUGAAUGAAAUUAAUGGAAUUAAUUAAUGAAUGAAUUUUGGAGGGGUUUAUGAACAUAACUAGCAACUUAGGCUUACAGAUAACUGUAACAGAUGUCAAAAACAAGGAAAAAGUGUCCUGAAUUACAUAUUCACAUUUACUACAAAUUAAAAUCAAUUAGAAAAAAAAGGAUGUGGUGGGCCACAAUGACUUGUUUUGCUUUGGGCCCCAAAUUGACUAAAUACGGCCUCGCUGUAAUGCAGUCGCACUCUAUUCCUGUCUUGUCUAUCCUGCGGCUUUCACUUUCUGUUAACUUCCACAUUUCAACCUUCUUGAUCGAUAUGAAGCUGCAGGAUAUCACAAAAACACAGCAAAAGCUGCUUCUUGACAAACCUUUGGAGGUGAGCGAGGUCUUGGAUAGGUUGAGGAGGCGGAGACCCUUGCUGAGGCGACAUAUCUGCUGGAUUAGGUUGGCCAUGCCUGCAGCCAGAAGGUGAUAGGACAUUUACACAACAUGUCUGAUAGUGUUGCCUCCUGUUCAGACAGUCACACAUUAACACCCACAGUCACACACUGGUGGUGAUGGAGGCCGCCAUGCAUGGUGACAGUCAGUUCAUCAGGCGCAUUUAGCUCUGGAGUGUUUUGAUAACAAGGGCCCAAGCGCCUCCUUGCAGUGACAUUCCAUUGCUUUUUCAAUUUUUGCCUUUCUUAUCAGACAUUGAAAAUGUAAAAAUGAUGAUUGGUUACUUCCACCUCCCUACCUUGGUUGUCCAGAGAAUUGUGGGCCAGGUUGAGCGAGUGGAUGACAGAGGCGGGAUUCUCAGACAGAGCAGCCGACAUCUUCUGUGGGAAGUCUCUGCAGAGGCAACACGUUUAGGGUCUCACUAAAUAACUAACACAAGCCAGCCACACCUUUGGUGCCUAUUAUGAGAUGAGACAAUUACAAUUUCCAGGAUUGUUGUAUUCCUUAAUGGACUACACCCAAAUCAGAGCGGGCUGGCCUAUGAGGCAAUACAGUGGAACCUUUGUUCUAGGAGGUCUGAUUCAAACCAAAACCGACUCUAACCAAAUCAAAUUUUCCAAUAUGAAAUAAUGUACAUGCAAUUAUUAAUCCCUUCCGCACGCUCACAACUGUUAACACAAAACACUUUUUUAUAGGUUUAGACGCAGAAAGCUAUUUGUAAUUGAUAUAAAUGACAA